AUAUGUUCAUGAGAGUAUGAGACAGACUAUAACUGUUCUAUGUGAGGUAUAGUUACACCUCACAUGAAACAAAAAAUACACUCAACAUGGAAAAUUUACCAACUACUAACUAAAUAGUAAAUACUCAAUAAUACUUCGUUUCCGCCGUGAUAGAUGUAUUUUUUUCUCUCUCACUACGGGUUGACUUUGAAUUUCUCUCUCUGAGUGCAGUUCAUAUAUUCCACAAGAGGAAUGCGAACUCAUUUUCAUAGCCGGUUAUUACAGCUAGCAUUGAUAGUUUUCUUAUCAUCGUAAGUUUGUUAUCACUUAUUACCACAGUGGUACAAGUCUACUUUACCGG